GAUUGACUCACAGGACAAGGGUGCAGUUUUCUCCUAGCCCAGCACUAAUGGUUAGUGACUUGAGUUAUUAGUGGUGGAUUCUAGGGUCAAUUUGAGGUCAAUUGACUGGUCAGGAACACCUGGUGUCCGUCCUGAAGGUUAUAAAUCAGCGUUCAGGAGGUGUGGCGGCAGGGGAAGAAGGCACACGGUUGAAACCAUGGCACCAAGAAGGAUAAGGAAAAUCGGCAAUCAGACAGAAGGACACGCAGAUGGUCAAAUUAGCAAGGAGAUACGCCAAAAGCAAGGGACGCUUUUUAUUCAACAGUUCGAGAAAGAAGGCUGUUCAUUUUAACGGAUGGCAAUUCGGCAGGUGAAGUCACCAUCGCCAUAAAGACCGAAUCACACGAGAUUCACCAGCCUCUCACAAGGAAGGUCAGUAAAGUCAAAGUAAGUGAAGGUGCAUCAGCUCAUAAAAGGAAGACUACAACAGAACCACCAAAGGUUUCCAAGAAAGCCAGAUCACUUGCCAAUGGCGGCUCAAGCACUGGAAGCCUACGGAGUGCCACAUCCACAAGUACAAAAAUAACCAACUCGCAUUGCCAAAAUCAGUGAUCAAUCUCCACUGACUGGGACGAAACACAGAUCUGUUUUGUGGUCAGCCAGUGAUGACCACCUGUGUUGCUCCCUGUCUGGAUUGUCUCCACAUGUAAUGAUCUCUACAUCCCAUGGAGAGACUUUGUGCCUCUCGGAUGAUACUGUUGAAGAUGUUGACAUCGGGUUACUGGAUGAUAUGGCUGUUCUCUAGAUGCAGAAGUUGAUGAAACUGAUGGACUAUCUUUUAAACAAAGUCAAAGCGACUCAGCCUAUGAAUUAGUCUGCAAUGAUACCAAGACGUCUAACAUUGAGCCACUAAUGCCACCUAUGCAUGUUUUACUUUCAAAUUUAAAAGUUGAUUCAAUAUAGUUCCGAUUUGUAUAUUCAUUAAUAAUCAAUAAACUGACUGGCUUUAUUAAUGUCUACAGUAUUAUGCAAUUUGGUUUCCCCUCAGGUUAUUGAUGUGUCAUUGCAACAUUAAAGGUCCUCAAUGACAUCACCAUUGCCCUUGUUUCUAAGCAAUGUUGUGCUGCUAUUUUUGACUUGGCCAAAGCUUUUGAUAUGGUAGACCAGUGGUUCCCAAACUUUUUAAAGUUCUGUACCCCUUCAAAUAUUAAACCUCCAGCU